rnacentral:rRNA from 1 species
AGGUGUUGUUGGGUAGGGGAGCGUUCUGUAAGCCUGCGAAGGUGGCCUGUGAGGGUUGCUGGAGGUAUCAGAAGUGCGAAUGCUGACAUAAGUAACGAUAAAGCGGGUGAAAAGCCCGCUCGCCGGAAGACCAAGGGUUCCUGUCCAACGUUAAUCGGGGCAGGGUGAGUCGACCCCUAAGGCGAGGCCGAAAGGCGUAGUCGAUGGGAAACGGGUUAAUAUUCCCGUACUUGGUGUUACUGCGAAGGGGGGACGGAGAAGGCUAUGUUGGCCGGGCGACGGUUGUCCCGGUUUAAGCGUGUAGGUGUGUGUUCCAGGUAAAUCCGGUUCACUUUAACACUGAGGCGUGACGACGAGGCACUACGGUGCUGAAGCAACAAAUGCCCUGCUUCCAGGAAAAGCCUCUAAGCAUCAGGUAACGUCAAAUCGUACCCCAAACCGACACAGGUGGUCAGGUAGAGAAUACCAAGGCGCUUGAGAGAACUCGGGUGAAGGAACUAGGCAAAAUGGUGCCGUAACUUCGGGAGAAGGCACGCUGACACGUAGGUGAAGUGAUUUACUCACGGAGCUGAAGUCAGUCGAAGAUACCAGCUGGCUGCAACUGUUUAUUAAAAACACAGCACUGUGCAAACACGAAAGUGGACGUAUACGGUGUGACGCCUGCCCGGUGCCGGAAGGUUAAUUGAUGGGGUCAGCGCAAGCGAAGCUCCUGAUCGAAGCCCCGGUAAACGGCGGCCGUAACUAUAACGGUCCUAAGGUAGCGAAAUUCCUUGUCGGGUAAGUUCCGACCUGCACGAAUGGCGUAAUGAUGGCCAGGCUGUCUCCACCCGAGACUCAGUGAAAUUGAACUCGCUGUGAAGAUGCAGUGUACCCGCGGCAAGACGGAAAGACCCCGUGAACCUUUACUAUAGCUUGACACUGAACAUUGAGCCUUGAUGUGUAGGAUAGGUGGGAGGCUUUGAAGUGUGGACGCCAGUCUGCAUGGAGCCGACCUUGAAAUACCACCCUUUAAUGUUUGAUGUUCUAACGUGGACCCGUGAUCCGGGUUGCGGACAGUGUCUGGUGGGUAGUUUGACUGGGGCGGUCUCCUCCUAAAGAGUAACGGAGGAGCACGAAGGUUGGCUAAUCCUGGUCGGACAUCAGGAGGUUAGUGCAAUGGCAUAAGCCAGCUUGACUGCGAGCGUGACGGCGCGAGCAGGUGCGAAAGCAGGUCAUAGUGAUCCGGUGGUUCUGAAUGGAAGGGCCAUCGCUCAACGGAUAAAAGGUACUCCGGGGAUAACAGGCUGAUACCGCCCAAGAGUUCAUAUCGACGGCGGUGUUUGGCACCUCGAUGUCGGCUCAUCACAUCCUGGGGCUGAAGUAGGUCCCAAGGGUAUGGCUGUUCGCCAUUUAAAGUGGUACGCGAGCUGGGUUUAGAACGUCGUGAGACAGUUCGGUCCCUAUCUGCCGUGGGCGCUGGAGAACUGAGGGGGGCUGCUCCUAGUACGAGAGGACCGGAGUGGACGCAUCACUGGUGUUCGGGUUGUCAUGCCAAUGGCACUGCCCGGUAGCUAAAUGCGGAAGAGAUAAGUGCUGAAAGCAUCUAAGCACGAAACUUGCCCCGAG